AGCGAACGCUGGCGGCAGGCCUAACACAUGCAAGUCGAACGAACUCUUCGGAGUUAGUGGCGGACGGGUGAGUAACACGUGGGAACGUGUCUUUAGGUUCGGAAUAACUCAGGGAAACUUGUGCUAAUACCGAAGGUGCCCUUCGGGGGAAAGAUUUAUCGCCUUUAGAGCGGCCCGCGUCUGAUUAGCUAGUUGGUAGUGUAAUGGACUACCAAGGCUACGAUCAGUAGCUGGUCUGAGAGGAUGAUCAGCCACAUUGGGACUGAGACACGGCCCAAACUCCUACGGGAGGCAGCAGUGGGGAAUCUUGCGCAAUGGGCGAAAGCCUGAUGCAGCCAUGCCGCGUGAAUGAUGAAGGUCUUAGGAUUGUAAAAUUCUUUCACCGGGGACGAUAAUGACGGUACCCGGAGAAGAAGCCCCGGCUAACUUCGUGCCAGCCGCCGCAGUAAGAC
rnacentral:rRNA from 1 species